rnacentral:rRNA from 1 species
UUUCACACUGUCAAGAAAAGCUUCUAUCGAGUUUAAAGGCGCCCGUACCGUAAACCGACACAGGUGGGUGAGGAGAGUAUCCUAAGGCCAGCGAGAGAACUAUUGUUAAGGAACUCGGCAAAAUGACCCCGUAACUUAGGGAGAAGGGGUGCCUGUCUAUGACAGGCCGCAGAGAAUAGGCCCAAGCGACUGUUUACCAAAAACACAGGUUUCUGCUAAGUCGCAAGACGAUGUAUAGGAGCUGACGCCUGCCCGGUGCUGGAAGGUUAAGGGGAUCUGUUAGAGCAAUCGAAGCAGUGAACUUAAGCCCCAGUAAUCGGCGGCCGUAACAAUAACGGUCCUAAGGUAGCGAAAUUCCUUGUCGGGUAAGUUCCGACCCGCACGAAAGGCGUAACGAUUUGGGCACUGUCUCAACAAUAGACUCGGUGAAAUUGUAAUCCCGGUGAAGAUGCCGGGUACCUGCGACAGGACGGAAAGACCCCAUGGAGCUUUACUGUAGCUUGACGUUGGGUCUUGGUACUACAUGUACAGGAUAGGUGGGAGACUAUGAAGCAUGGACGCCAGUCUGUGUGGAGUCAUCCUUGGGAUACCACCCUUGUAGUACUGGGAUCCUAACCAUAGGCCUUGAAUCAGGUCUUGGAACACCGUCAGGUGGGCAGUUUGACUGGGGCGGUCGCCUCCUAAAAAGUAACGGAGGCGCUCAAAGGUUUCCUCAGCACGGUCGGAAAUCGUGCGAAGAGUGUAAAGGCAAAAGGAAGCUUGAUUGCAAGACAUACAGGUCGAGCAAGGACGAAAGUCGGACUUAGUGAUCCGGUGGUACCGCAUGGAAGGGCCAUCGCUCAACGGAUAAAAGCUACCCUGGGGAUAACAGGCUUAUCUCCCCCAAGAGUCCACAUCGACGGGGAGGUUUGGCACCUCGAUGUCGGCUCAUCACAUCCUGGGGCUGUAGUAGGUCCCAAGGGUUGGGCUGUUCGCCCAUUAAAGUGGUACGCGAGCUGGGUUCAGAACGUCGUGAGACAGUUCGGUCCCUAUCCGUCGCAGGCGUAGGAAAUUUGAGAAGACCUGUCCUUAGUACGAGAGGACCGGGAUGGACGUACCUCUGGUGUACCAGUUGUUCUGCCAAGGGCAUGGCUGGGUAGCUAUGUACGGAAUGGAUAAGCGCUGAAAGCAUCUAAGCGCGAAGCCAACUUCAAGAUAAGAUUUCCCACCGUAAGGGUAAGACCCCAGGAAGACUACCUGGUUGAUAGGUCGAAGGUGUAAGUGCAGUAAUGUAUUUAGCUUAUCGAUACUAAUAGGUCGAGGACUUGACC